rnacentral:rRNA from 1 species
UUUUACCCCGCUGGAAAUUAAGCAUAUCAAUAAGCGGAGGAAAAGAAAACAACAGGGAUUGCCUUAGUAACGGCGAGUGAAGCGGCAAUAGCUCAAAUUUGAAAGCUGGCGUCUUCGACGUCCGCGUUGUAAUUUGUAGAGGAUGCUUCGGCGAAGACUCCUGCCUAAGUCCCCUGGAACGGGGCGUCAUAGAGGGUGAGAAUCCCGUAUGUGGCGGGCAGUCUAAGCCAUGUGAAGCUCCUUCGACGAGUCGAGUUGUUUGGGAAUGCAGCUCUAAAUGGGAGGUAAAUUUCUUCUAAAGCUAAAUAUUGGCCAGAGACCGAUAGCGCACAAGUAGAGUGAUCGAAAGAUGAAAAGCACUUUGGAAAGAGAGUUAAAAAGUACGUGAAAUUGUUGAAAGGGAAGCGCUUGCAACCAGACUCGCUCGUAGUUGCUCAGCCGGCCUCUUGGCCGGUGUACUCUUCUGCGAUCGGGCCAGCAUCAGUUCGGGCGGCCGGAUAAAGGUGUCGGGAAUGUAGCACCCUUCGGGGUGUGUUAUAGCCCGGCGCGGAAUGCGGCCAGCCUGGACUGAGGAUCUCGCUUCGGCAAGGAUGCUGGCGUAAUGGUUGUAAGCGGCCCGUCUUGAAACACGGACCAAGGAGUCUAACAUCUAUGCGAGUGUUUGGGUGUCAAACCCAUGCGCGUAAUGAAAGUGAACGGAGGUGGGAACCCUUCACGGGGUGCACCAUCGACCGAUCCUGAUGUCUUCGGAUGGAUUUGAGUAAGAGCAUAGCUGUUGGGACCCGAAAGAUGGUGAACUAUGCCUGAAUAGGGUGAAGCCAGAGGAAACUCUGGUGGAGGCUCGCAGCGGUUCUGACGUGCAAAUCGAUCGUCAAAUUUGGGUAUAGGGGCGAAAGACUAAUCGAACCAUCUAGUAGCUGGUUCCUGCCGAAGUUC